UCUUUUUUCUUUAACUUUCUUUAUUUUAUUUUUUCUUUUUGUGCUAAGAAUUAAAGCUUUGAUCAUCACGAAGCUACACACCCAGUCAAUGCCUGCUCAAAUUUAAUCUCCCUAUGUUAAAUCUUGAGUCCAAGACUUUCCCUGCUGUGGUAUCAACUGUGGUCUUUUUCCAUUCCAGACAAGGACUUGAAGCCCUGGUGUGAACAGUGCGUCUCGCACACCUGACCUAUAGGAAGAGUUCCCUACUGGAAGAAACGAACACACACAAGGUGCUAGACCACCACCUAAAGAGCCAUUGCCUGGGUUUAGCUCUGAUAAAAAUAGGAUCCACCCACUGUCCAAAGCCCUUCACUACGUGCAAGAGGAGAGGAACGAAACCCACUCGGCUUCCUGUGAGCCAUGCCUAGACUGACUCCUAACCAAGAGAGCAAGCUUCAGGAAUGGCUUGGGGCAGGUAAAUUCAGAGAGGCCUCAGCAGGGACAGGGCCGUCCAUAUUCUCCCACUGUCAUGAUAACCUGAUCUACCAGAUAGAAAGUCUACCAGGAAAGAAUGAGAAAGAAAACGGACAGGACAUCAUUACCUACCGCCACCUCCUAUUUCUCAUUAUACGAGAAAGCCCAGGACUGUGGUGGGCCAGAGAAGGGUACGCACUAGAAGGAUGCAAAUUCCUUGCUGUGUCAUCUUCAGUGCAUUGUCAUUUGGAAAAUGACACACAGUAUUGUUAUAAACAUUAAAACG